UACGAAGGGGGCGAGCGUUGUUCGGAAUUACUGGGCGUAAAGGGCUCGUAGGCGGCCAACUAAGUCGGACGUGAAAUCCCCAGGCUCAACCUGGGAACUGCGUCCGAUACUGGAUGGCUUGAAUCCGGGAGAGGGAUGCAGAAUUCCAGGUGUAGCGGUGAAAUGCGUAGAUAUCUGGAGGAAUACCGGUGGCGAAGGCGGCAUCCUGGACCGGCAUUGACGCUGAGGAGCGAAAGCCAGGGGAGCAAACGGG
rnacentral:rRNA from 1 species